GAUCCCUGGUUGAUCCUGCCAGUAGUCAUAUGCUUGUCUCAAAGAUUAAGCCAUGCACGUCUCAGUGCAAGCCGUCUCCACGCGGCGAGACCGCAGAUGGCUCAUUAAAUCAGUUAUGGUUCCUUGGACGAAGGAAGCUUACUUGGACAACUGUGGCAAUUCUAGAGCUAAUACAUGCAACUCAGGCCCCGACCGGUGACGGAAGGGGCGCACUUAUUAGAUCAACAAACCAGCGGGUGCUCCGGUGCCCGACUCGGACUGAUGACUCUGAAUAAACCACGAAGCUGAUCGCAUGGCCUUUGCGCCGGCGACGCGUCUUUCAAAUGUCUGCCUUAUCAACUGUCGAUGUUAGGCUCUGUGCCUACCAUGGUCUUAACGGGUGACGGGGAAUCAGGGUUCGAUUCCGGAGAGGGAGCCUGAGAAACGGCUACCACAUCCAAGGAAGGCAGCAGGCGCGCAAAUUACCCACUCCCGGCACGGGGAGGUAGUGACGAAAAAUAACGAUACGGGACUCAUCCGAGGCCCCGUAAUCGGAAUGAGAACACUUUAAAUCCUUUACCGAGGACCUAUUGGAGGGCAAGCCUGGUGCCAGCAGCUGCGGUAACUCCAGCUCCAAUAGCGUAUAUUAAAGUUGUUGCGGUUAAAAAGCUCGUAGUUUAGCUUGUGUCCCGCACUGUCGGUUCACCGCCCGCCGGUGUUUUUUAAACUGACAGGUUACGUGGGGACGUCCUGACGGUGGUCCCUCUUCCCCCGGGGAUCGCGCUGCCAUCCGGCCGCUUCAAUUAGGGGCUCGAUUCGCGCGUGUUCCGGCUGGGCUCGUCCCUUUCGGUAGCGGUCGGUGUCUCCGAGAAAGCCCGGUUGGCGGCUUCGGCUCUGGCGGUGCGUUUUUCCUCGGACAGGGAAAGGGCCCGGCGAAUUCGAUUCGACCCCCCGCCUUGGUGCUCUUUGCUGAGUGUCACGACGGGCCGUCACGUUUACUUUGAACAAAUUAGAGUGCUCAACGCAGGCAGCACGUCGCCUGGAUAUCGGUGCAUGGAAUAAUGGAAUAGGACCUCGGUCCCGCUUUGCUGGUUCACGGGACGGCCGAGGUAAUGACCGACAGAGACGGUCGAGGGCACUCGUACUGCGACGUUAGAGGUGAAAUUCUUGGAUCGUCGCAAGACGAACGGAGGCGAAAGCAUUUGCCAAGCAUGCCCUCUCUGAUCAAGAACGAAAGUCAGAGGUUCGAAGGCGAUCAGAUACCGCCCUAGUUCUGACCAUAAACGAUGCCGGCUAGCAAUCCGCCGAAGUUCCUCCGAUGACUCGGCGAGCGGCUUACGGGAAACCAAAGCCUUUGGGUUCCGGGGGAAGUAUGGUUGCAAAGCUGAAACUUAAAGGAAUUGACGGAAGGGCACCACAAGGAGUGGGGCCUGCGGCUUAAUUUGACUCAACACGGGAAAACUCACCAAGCCCGGACACCGGUAGGAUUGACAGAUUGAGAGCUCUUUCUCGAUUCGGUGGGUGGUGGUGCAUGGCCGUUCUUCGUUGGUGGGGCGACUUGUCAGGUUAAUUCCGAUAACGAACGAGACUCGUGCCUGCUAACUAGUCGGCAAAGGUAUCCUGAGCGCUACCUCCGACGAUGAAAUCUUCUUAGAGGGACAAGCGGCGUCUAGUCGCACGAGAUAGAGCAAUAACAGGUCAGUGAUGCCCUUAGAUGUCUUGGGCCGCACGCGCGCCACACUGAAGGAACCAGCGUGUCUUCCCUGGCCGAGAGGCCCGGGUAACCCGCUGAACCUCCUUCGUGAUUGGGACUGGGGCUUGCAAUUCUUCCCCAUGAACGAGGAAUUCCUAGUAAGCGCGGGUCAUGAGCCCGCAUUGAUUAAGUCCCUGCCCUUUGUACACACCGCCCGUCGCUACUACUGAUUGAACGGUUUAGUGAGGCGUUCGGACAGGCGGACGCUGCGUCUUUCGAGCGCAGCGACUCCUGCCUGGAAGAUCUCCGAACUUGACCGUUUAGAAGAAGUAAAAGUCGUAACAAGGUUGUCGUUGGUGAACCAGCGACAGGACCAUUA
rnacentral:rRNA from 1 species